rnacentral:rRNA from 1 species
GGUAUGGGAUGAGCUUGCGUCCGAUUAGCUAGUUGGCGGGGCAACGGCCCACCAAGGCGACGAUCGGUAGCCGGCCUGAGAGGGUGAUCGGCCACAUUGGGACUGAGAUACGGCCCAGACUCCUACGGGAGGCAGCAGUAGGGAAUAUUGCACAAUGGGGGAAACCCUGAUGCAGCAACGCCACGUGUGGGAAGAAGCAUUUCGGUGUGUAAACCACUGUCGUGAGGGAAUAAUACGCGUCUUCGGGCGCGGGAGAAUGUACCUUGAAAGGAAGCACCGGCAAACUUCGUGCCAGCAGCCGCGGUAAUACGAGGGGUGCAAGCGUUGUUCGGAAUCACUGGGCGUAAAGGGAGCGUAGGCGGACGUUCAAGCGGAUUGUACAAUACCGGGGCCCAACCCCGGACCUGCAGUUCGAACUGGACAUCUUGGAUAGUUCAGGGGCAGGC